rnacentral:pre_miRNA from 1 species
UUACUACUCCCUCCGUUCCAAAUUACUCGUCGCUGAAAUGGAUGUAUCUAGAACUAAAAUACAUCUAGAUACAUCCAUACGUGCGACAAGUAAUUCAGAACGGAGGGAGUAUAAG